UAGGGAAUAUUGGACAAUGGGUGAGAGCCUGAUCCAGCCAUGCCGCGUGCAGGAAGAAGGCGUUAUGCGUUGUAAACUGCUUUUUGCCAGGGGAUAAAAAGACCGUGCGCGGUUAAUUGAAGGUACCUGGUGAAUAAGCCACGGCUAACUACGUGCCAGCAGCCGCGGUAAUACGUAGGUGGCAAGCGUUGUCCGGAUUUAUUGGGUUUAAAGGGUGCGUAGGUGGCCCUGUAAGUCAGUGGUGAAAUAUCUCAGCUUAACUGAGAGGGUGCCAUUGAUACUGCAGGGCUUGAGUACAGAUGAGGUAGGCGGAAUUGACGGUGUAGCGGUGAAAUGCAUAGAUAUCGUCAAGAACACCGAUAGCGAAGGCAGCUUACCAAGCUGUAACUGACACUGAGGCACGAAAGUGUGGGGAUCAAACAGGAUUAGAUACCCAUGUAGUCCCUGAG
rnacentral:rRNA from 1 species